AGAUGACCCUGUUUACGUCUGCUGAGCCAAUUCCAAACAGCAACAGUAGUGAAAACUUCUGUCGGGAGAGACUUCUCAACUACUGGUGUAGAGAGAACAAAUCUUCACUUUGUAUAACGCGAGGACUUUAAGAAGUUUUGGGAAAUGGCUGAGAGGAAAAAAACACAAGGAAGCCAGCAGCCUGCCCAACUUCUCUAUUUUCUAAAGUAUCUCUUACCAGAGACCCCCGGGGGGCUCGGGAUAAAGCUUGCAAGAAACAGAAAAUGCAAGGGCUGGUCGCAUGGUGCCAGACCUACCUCAAGGAGAACUGAGGAAUGUAGUCCCUGUCUGGGCAGCCACUUCCCUGCAUCACCUGUACACUAUGGAAGGAAACCUGAUCAGAGGACUGCUAACCAUCUCUGGAUACAGAGGGUAGCCGGCUCCACGCACUGACCGCAGCUCUGAGGCUGACACUUCCCUGAAGACCCAGAGUGUGGAUCGUCAGUCAGGACUUGCUGCCGCAGCCCUUCUUCAUGAGUGAAGUCAAGUGAGCGUGAGGCCGUUCACCACUCUCCUGGUCUUUUUCAUUUCUCACUUGGUGCUCCCCUCAGUAGCAGCAUAUGUCUCUAAGCCCCUGUGUAUUCAUUCUGCCAAGAAAGUCUCAGUGCUGUAGUGCCACGCGAUUGGCCGAGAUGGCUAAGAUCCCCCAACUCACUCAAUUCCCUCCUUCUCUUAUCACUAGACUGCAGGGGAACCAUUUUCAUUCCAAUGGUGUUAUUUUCCUGCCCCGCGUACCUCUUUCCCCUUCAGCUUUUACCCAGCAUCUUGCCAGUCUUUCUCACUGGAAAUUCCCGUCCUCACUCCCCUCCCCUUUGGGAGGUAGGAAGUCAUUUUUGCUGACUCAUUUGUCCUGUGCCCUUUUGCUGCCCCAAGUUGCUUCCCCCUUUCUCCAGAGCCGCUGGAGUCUUCUCCACAAGGUUUACUCUGCGGCCUUUCUGGAAACCAGCCCCUCUACUCUUCUGGGAUUUGGAGUUUCAGAGCGAGUUCUUGUUGGCUCCGGGCCCACUGUUCACCUGGGCUUCUGGCUUGCUUACGGUCCUACCUAUUUAGACUUAUUUCUCAGGUCUGGGGUGGUGCACGGUUGAUUUCUGGCUGCUUUCAGUGCUGAUCUCGAAAGCGAAGGCUUGAGACCAGGCGUGGUGGCUCACACCUGUAAUCCCAAAACACUGAGAGGCCAAGGUGGGAGGACUGCUUGAAUCCAGGGGCUUGAGAACAGCGUAGGCAACAUAAUGAGACCCCGUGGCUGCAAAAAAAAAAAGGAAGGCUUGGAGCCCUGGGCUUGCCCCUGGGCCUGGCAGGCUCUCCUCUAGUGAGUGGAGACAGCAGGCAAGCCUCCUUUACUCUCAAGUCCUGUAGAUUCCUUUUUCUUUUUCUUUUUUUUUUUUUCCUGAGACGGAGUCUGGCUCUGCUGCCCAGGCUGGAGUGCAGUGGCGCGAUCUCAGCUCACUGCAAGCUCCGCCUCCCGGGUUCAUGCCAUUCCCCUGCCUCAGCCUCCCGUGUAGCUGGGAUUACAGGCACCCGCCACCGCGCCCGGCUAAUUUUUUGUAUUUUUAGUAGAGACGGGGUUUCACCGUGUUAGCCAAGAUGGUCUCGAUCUCCUGACCUCCUGAUCCGCGCGUCUCGGCCCGCCAAAGUACUGGGAUUACAGGCGUGAGCCACCGCGCCCGGCCGAUCCCUUUUAAUAGAGGAGGAAAGAGGGGCGGAGGAGCGGACGGAAGAGUGACGUUAAUGGAGCAUGCGCACUCCCCGAGCACUGCACUAGGGCUUCGGGGUACAGUUGAUGCCUUGGGAGAACUGGAAACACCUGAUUUGGGAGAGUGAUGGCAUUGGCUAGGAGUGACUAUCAUACAUUCUGAACUCUGAUGCCCCUUCCGAGACCCCUGGGAUGCCAGGCUCUUCCCAGGGAGUAGCGUUGACAGCUAAGCUUCUUUAACAGAAAGGCCACAGAGGGGACACAUUCCCGUUUGUCCCCGGCCACUAGAAAGUGUUUCCAGGAGAAGCAGGUUAUGAACAAUCCAUCACCUUCUUUCAGAUGGGGUACCGUGGGAGCCCUAAUGAGAGAUGCUAAUGUUCUUCCAGCCCCAGGAGCUCUCUUUUUCCCUGUCUCCCUCCCGGAUCCUCCGAGCAGUCUGCCUCCACAGGUGGCACUGGCAGGGAGACCCCAAGCCAGGUGGUUGGCCGACUUCCGACUCACCUUGUACCUCAGAUCCCCCACCGCCCCGCUACGGCUUGAUUUCAGGAUAACGCUCAGGAAUGGAUCUUUUGGAUGAGGGGGAGAGGAAAGAGACUGAUUUCCUCGAGAGAGGUGGGGCGGGGGAGCAGCUGAGAGAAAGCUGCGCCGUCUGGAAAGGAAGCCAGAAAGGAAGACAGAGUCUCUUUGAACUUUUCCCACCAAGCUGACAGGAAAAUUGCAAAAACAUCAUUGGACUGGUUCAGGAUGCGAAGGGAGCAGCCAGGAAGGCGCGGCCUCUUUGAAGGCUUCCCGCUCCGCGCGAGGCAUGGCUCCCGGAGGGGUACACCAGCUGGAGUGAGGAACAGGGCUCGACGCCCGCCCGACCGACAGCCACACGGGAACAGGCUGCGUUUUGUUGUGUUCCCAGUGGUCCCCAGGGCCGAAGGGGAAUGUAAGGAGAUGCUGUUGAGCUGGCCAGAGGGGACAGGGGAGGCUCGAAGCGAGGCACGCAGUCAGGCUCUCCUGACGAGAGCAAGCAGGAGUUACGCAAGGGCAAAGGCCUCCUUCUACUGGAGAGAUGACACUAGUGAGGCCUGGGGACAGCUCCGAGGGCUGGGGAAGGUCAGUGUUGGCUUUAGGCAGGAGUAUGACCAAAACUGGCUACUUAUCUUGUGGGGCUCAGUGCAAAGUGAAAAUACGGGCCCCUUAUUUAAAAAUUAUGAAGCGUUUGCUGGGUGUGGUGGCACGUGCCUGUAAUCCCAGCAUUUUGGGAGGCCGAGGUAGGAGGAGCAUUUGAGCCCAGGAGUUCAAGACCAGCCUGGGCAACAUAGUGAGAGCCUGUCUCUACAAAAAAUAAAGAAUUAGGCCAGGCACAGUGGCACGUGCCUGUAGUCCCAGCUACUCAGGAGGCCGAGGUGGGA